GUGUGUUCCAGGUAAAUCCGGUUCACUUUAACACUGAGGCGUGACGACGAGGCACUACGGUGCUGAAGCAACAAAUGCCCUGCUUCCAGGAAAAGCCUCUAAGCAUCAGGUAACAUCAAAUCGUACCCCAAACCGACACAGGUGGUCAGGUAGAGAAUACCAAGGCGCUUGAGAGAACUCGGGUGAAGGAACUAGGCAAAAUGGUGCCGUAACUUCGGGAGAAGGCACGCUGACACGUAGGUGAAGUGAUUUACUCAUGGAGCUGAAGUCAGUCGAAGAUACCAGCUGGCUGCAACUGUUUAUUAAAAACACAGCACUGUGCAAACACGAAAGUGGACGUAUACGGUGUGACGCCUGCCCGGUGCCGGAAGGUUAAUUGAUGGGGUCAGCGCAAGCGAAGCUCCUGAUCGAAGCCCCGGUAAACGGCGGCCGUAACUAUAACGGUCCUAAGGUAGCGAAAUUCCUUGUCGGGUAAGUUCCGACCUGCACGAAUGGCGUAAUGAUGGCCAGGCUGUCUCCACCCGAGACUCAGUGAAAUUGAACUCGCUGUGAAGAUGCAGUGUACCCGCGGCAAGACGGAAAGACCCCGUGAACCUUUACUAUAGCUUGACACUGAACAUUGAGCCUUGAUGUGUAGGAUAGGUGGGAGGCUUUGAAGUGUGGACGCCAGUCUGCAUGGAGCCGACCUUGAAAUACCACCCUUUAAUGUUUGAUGUUCUAACGUGGACCCGUUACCCGGGUUGCGGACAGUGUCUGGUGGGUAGUUUGACUGGGGCGGUCUCCUCCUAAAGAGUAACGGAGGAGCACGAAGGUUGGCUAAUCCUGGUCGGACAUCAGGAGGUUAGUGCAAUGGCAUAAGCCAGCUUGACUGCGAGCGUGACGGCGCGAGCAGGUGCGAAAGCAGGUCAUAGUGAUCCGGUGGUUCUGAAUGGAAGGGCCAUCGCUCAACGGAUAAAAGGUACUCCGGGGAUAACAGGCUGAUACCGCCCAAGAGUUCAUAUCGACGGCGGUGUUUGGCACCUCGAUGUCGGCUCAUCACAUCCUGGGGCUGAAGUAGGUCCCAAGGGUAUGGCUGUUCGCCAUUUAAAGUGGUACGCGAGCUGGGUUUAGAACGUCGUGAGACAGUUCGGUCCCUAUCUGCCGUGGGCGCUGGAGAACUGAGGGGGGCUGCUCCUAGUACGAGAGGACCGGAGUGGACGCAUCACUGGUGUUCGGGUUGUCAUGCCAAUGGCACUGCCCGGUAGCUAAAUGCGGAAGAGAUAAGUGCUGAAAGCAUCUAAGCACGAAACUUGCCCCGAGAUGAGUUCUCC
rnacentral:rRNA from 1 species